AACUUUGAGAAUUUGAUCCUAGUUCAGGAUGAAUGCUAGCGGCGUGCCUAAGGUAUGCAAGUCGAACGAUCAGCUACAUUUUCCAAAUCGAUCCGGCUUGCCGGAGAGGUGCGGAUUCGUGGUUGAUAGUGGCGAACGGCUGAGUAACACGUAGGAAUCUACCCCCAACUCGGGAAUAGCCCCGGGAAACCGGGAUUAAUGCCCGAUGUGGUCGAAAGACUAAAGAGAAUAAAAAUUCUCUUGAAGUCGAGCUAUAGCGCAUAUGCGCUAUAUCGUCGACUUUAAGAUUUAUCGGUUGGGGAUGAGCCUGCGGCCUAUCAGGUAGUUGGUGAGGUAAAGGCUCACCAAGCCAUUGACGGGUAGCCGGACUGAGAGGUUGACCGGCCAGAGGGGCACUGAGACACGGGCCUCACUCCUACGGGAGGCAGCAAUCGGGAAUCUUGCGCAAUGGGGGAAACCCUGACGCAGCGACGCCGCGUGGAGGAUGACGGCCUUCGGGUUGUAAACUCCUGCAAAUAGCACCGGCUAACUACGUGCCAGCAGCAGCGGUCAUACGUAGGGUGCGAGCAUUAUCCGGAGUUACUGGGCGUAAAGAGUUCUGUAGGCGGUAGUGUAAGUCUAAGGUUAAAGACCCCGGCUCAACCGGGGAAAAGCUUUGGAUACUGCUCUACUAGAGACAGCUAGGGGACACUGGAACUUACGGUGAAGCAGUGAAAUGCGUUGAUAUCGUAGGGAACACCAAGGGGGAAGCCAAGUGUCUGGGGCUGUUCUGACGCUGAGAGACGAAAGCGUGGGUAGCGAAACGGAUUAGAUACCCGUGUAGUCCACGCUGUAAACUAUGCCUGCUAGAUACCUGUUUAUAUGGGUGUCGAAGCUAACGCGUUAAGCAGGCCGCCUGGGAAGUACGGUCGCAAGGCUAAAACUCAAAGGAAUUGGCGGGGACCCGCACAAGCGGUGGAGCAUGCUCUUUAAUUGGCUGAUAACCCAAGAACCUUACCCAGGUUUGACAUGUAGAUGCAAAUCCGGUGAAAGCCGGACUCCUUCGAGGGUUCUACACAGGUGUUGCAUGGCUGUCGUCAGCUCGUACCGUGAGGCGUACCCUUAAGUGGGUUAACGAGCGCAACCCCUACUGUUAGUUGUAUCACU
rfam:Candidate division WWE3 bacterium GW2011_GWB1_41_6 TT72_C0038, whole genome shotgun sequence.